rnacentral:rRNA from 1 species
GUCAUUAGUUGCCAUCAUUUAGUUGGGCACUCUAAUGAGACUGCCGGUGACAAACCGGAGGAAGUGGGGAUGACGUCAAGUCCUCAUGGCCCUUAUGGGUAGGGCUUCACACGUCAUACAAUGGUCGGUACAGAGGGUUGCCCAAGCCGCGAGGUGGAGCCAAUCCCUUAAAGCCGAUCGUAGUCCGGAUCGUAGUCUGCAACUCGACUACGUGAAGUCGGAAUCGCUAGUAAUCGCAGAUCAGCAUGCUGCGGUGAAUACGUUCCCGGGUCUU